UAGGCAAGAAGGAAGGGAGAAGACACAAGC
rnacentral:piRNA from 1 species